rnacentral:rRNA from 1 species
UUAAAUUGAAGAGUUUGAUCAUGGCUCAGAUUGAACGCUGGCGGCAGGCCUAACACAUGCAAGUCGAACGGUAACAGGAAGCAGCUUGCUGCUUUGCUGACGAGUGGCGGACGGGUGAGUAAUGUCUGGGAAACUGCCUGAUGGAGGGGGAUAACUACUGGAAACGGUAGCUAAUACCGCAUAAUGUCGCAAGACCAAAGAGGGGGACCUUCGGGCCUCUUGCCAUCGGAUGUGCCCAGAUGGGAUUAGCUAGUAGGUGGGGUAAAGGCUCACCUAGGCGACGAUCCCUAGCUGGUCUGAGAGGAUGACCAGCCACACUGGAACUGAGACACGGUCCAGACUCCUACGGGAGGCAGCAGUGGGGAAUAUUGCACAAUGGGCGCAAGCCUGAUGCAGCCAUGCCGCGUGUAUGAAGAAGGCCUUCGGGUUGUAAAGUACUUUCAGCGGGGAGGAAGGGAGUAAAGUUAAUACCUUUGCUCAUUGACGUUACCCGCAGAAGAAGCACCGGCUAACUCCGUGCCAGCAGCCGCGGUAAUACGGAGGGUGCAAGCGUUAAUCGGAAUUACUGGGCGUAAAGCGCACGCAGGCGGUUUGUUAAGUCAGAUGUGAAAUCCCCGGGCUCAACCUGGGAACUGCAUCUGAUACUGGCAAGCUUGAGUCUCGUAGAGGGGGGUAGAAUUCCAGGUGUAGCGGUGAAAUGCGUAGAGAUCUGGAGGAAUACCGGUGGCGAAGGCGGCCCCCUGGACGAAGACUGACGCUCAGGUGCGAAAGCGUGGGGAGCAAACAGGAUUAGAUACCCUGGUAGUCCACGCCGUAAACGAUGUCGACUUGGAGGUUGUGCCCUUGAGGCGUGGCUUCCGGAGCUAACGCGUUAAGUCGACCGCCUGGGGAGUACGGCCGCAAGGUUAAAACUCAAAUGAAUUGACGGGGGCCCGCACAAGCGGUGGAGCAUGUGGUUUAAUUCGAUGCAACGCGAAGAACCUUACCUGGUCUUGACAUCCACGGAAGUUUUCAGAGAUGAGAAUGUGCCUUCGGGAACCGUGAGACAGGUGCUGCAUGGCUGUCGUCAGCUCGUGUUGUGAAAUGUUGGGUUAAGUCCCGCAACGAGCGCAACCCUUAUCCUUUGUUGCCAGCGGUCCGGCCGGGAACUCAAAGGAGACUGCCAGUGAUAAACUGGAGGAAGGUGGGGAUGACGUCAAGUCAUCAUGGCCCUUACGACCAGGGCUACACACGUGCUACAAUGGCGCAUACAAAGAGAAGCGACCUCGCGAGAGCAAGCGGACCUCAUAAAGUGCGUCGUAGUCCGGAUUGGAGUCUGCAACUCGACUCCAUGAAGUCGGAAUCGCUAGUAAUCGUGGAUCAGAAUGCCACGGUGAAUACGUUCCCGGGCCUUGUACACACCGCCCGUCACACCAUGGGAGUGGGUUGCAAAAGAAGUAGGUAGCUUAACCUUCGGGAGGGCGCUUACCACUUUGUGAUUCAUGACUGGGGUGAAGUCGUAACAAGGUAACCGUAGGGGAACCUGCGGUUGGAUCACCUCCUUACCUUAAAGAAGC